rnacentral:tRNA from 1 species
UGGGAUGUGGUUCAGUGGUAGAGUACUUGCCUUGCAUGUAUGAAGUACUGGGUUCGAUCCUCAACACCACAU